GCCACGGAGGCUAUAAAGGGAGCUGCAGGCGGAGCGGCUGGUCCUUUUACGUCGGCGAGCUGAGAGUCUACUGUGGUCUGUAGGAGCGAUGACGCCAUCUUUUUCUGGGUCUUCAGAGCGGUUGCAAAGAGAUGCCCAGAUGGAGAGAGGUCCAAAUCAUCCAAGAGAAUUAAUAACAAAAAGUAAUUUGUUUAAGACCUGACUCAUUGAAAAGUGAAAGCACAGAGGUGCCGGCUGCCUGCAAAGUACCUAGCUCUCCUCGGAGAAUCGAGUGGCCAGAGACAAGCUUUUGCUGGCGAAUGAGAAUUGGAGGUGGUGAAAAGGCAGACACGAUGUGCAGUGUUGACUACUAGCGUGUUUGGAGUUGAGGCCUUUGCACGGCUCUGGCUGUCCUCACUCGUCCAUCUUACCUCCUAAACAAGGAGACUGUUUGCCUGCGGAGCCAUCUGCGAUACUAGUUUUUGAGGAGAACGUGGGAUCACGCUUACAGAAAGUUGUGGGUUGUAUGCAAUCAGUGGAUGGGAGUGUUUAGUCGUUGAUCCUGUUGGGUUUAAAAUGAAUGGAAUUAAAGCUGGGUGAAAAUUUUCAGUGGUUUUAUGAGAAUCUUUACUAGGAUUAUGACACUGUCUAGUAAACAGAACAGCAUAUGAUGUGGCCUGUAAUAUUUGUUAUAUGCCUUAUUCUCUUGCCCAGUGGGGUUUAACUGAAUGCUGCAAUAAAUGUACAGUUGCAACAA